CUAAUGGGGAAAUAUUAGAAUGGGGUAAGGAUUGUUAUGAAAGGUGUAUAUUGAAUCUUGUCAAAAGAGUGGGCACUAUUGGAUUACCCACUAGUACACCUCAAAACCCGGAAAUCCCUAUACAGUACCAAGACAUUAAAGAAGUAUUCAGCAAAACUCAAUCGAAUACUCUACGUCCUCACAGACCUUAUGACUGUUCCAUUAAUUUACUACCCGGCGCUAUGCCACUUAAAG